GACGAACGCUGGCGGCGUGCCUAAUACAUGCAAGUUGAGCGCUGAAGGUUGGUACUUGUACCAACUGGAUGAGCAGCGAACAGGUGAGUAACGCGUGGGGAAUCUGCCUUUGAGCGGGGGACAACAUUUGGAAACGAAUGCUAAUACCGCAUAAAAACUUUAAACACAAGUUUUAAGUUUGAAAGAUGCAAUUGCAUCACUCAAAGAUGAUCCCGCGUUGUAUUAGCUAGUUGGUGAGGUAAAGGCUCACCAAGGCGAUGAUACAUAGCCGACCUGAGAGGGUGAUCUGCCACAUUGGGACUGAGACACGGCCCAAACUCCUACGGGAGGCAGCAGUAGGGAAUCUUCGGCAAUGGACGAAAGUCUGACCGAGCAACGCCGCGUGAGUGAAGAAGGAUUUCGGAUCGUAAAACUCGGUUGGUAGAGAAGAACGUUGGUGAGAGUGGAAAGCUCAUCAAGUGACGGUAACUACCCAGAAAGGGACGGCUAACUACGUG
rnacentral:rRNA from 1 species